rnacentral:rRNA from 1 species
CUGUUGAAUAAAAUUCUAGGUAGAAUUACGAUAAUGACGGUCUGCCUAUGCUUGACCAAAUUACGUGCCAGCAGUCGCGGUAAUACGUAGAAGACUAGUGUUAUUCAUCUUUAAUAGGUUUAAAGGGUACCUAGACGGUAAAUCAAGCCGGACUAAUGUACUAGAGUUACUUGUGAGGGGGAAGUACUGCUGGUGUAGAGAUGAAAUUCUUUCAUACCGGCACAGGUAUAGGCGAAAGCAUCCCCUUAUGUGAUAACUGACGUUGAGAAGGCUUUGUGUAGCGAACAGGAUUAGAUACCCCAGUAGUCGAAGCAGAAAAUGAUGAGUGUCAUAGAUUAGAUCUAUAAAUGAAAGUGUAAGCACUCCACCUCAAGAGUAAUUUGGCAACAUUGGAACUGAAAUCAUUAGACCGUUUCUGAAACCAGUAGUGAAGUAUGUUGUUUAAUUUGAUUGCCCGCAAAAAACCUUACCACAAUUUGAACAAGCGUUGCACGGCUGUCUUCAGUUAAUGUCGUGAGACUUUGGUUAGUUCCAUUUAAUUAACGUAAACCCUUACUUUAUUUACAGGGACUAAGACAAGUC